AGAGGUGCGCCGGUGAGGGGUGAAGCAUUUACUGCGUAAGCCCAUGCCGGUCGAAGAUACCAGGCCGCUGCGACUGUUUAUUAAAAACACAGCACUCUGCAAACACGAAAGUGGACGUAUAGGGUGUGACGCCUGCCCGGUGCCGGAAGGUUAAUUGAUGGGGUUAGCUAACGCGAAGCUCUUGAUCGAAGCCCCGGUAAACGGCGGCCGUAACGAUAACGGUCCUAAGGUAGCGAAAUUCCUUGUCGGGUAAGUUCCGACCUGCACGAAUGGCGUAACGAUGGCGGCGCUGUCUCCACCCGAGACUCAGUGAAAUUGAAAUCGCUGUGAAGAUGCAGUGUAUCCGCGGCUAGACGGAAAGACCCCGUGAACCUUUACUAUAGCUUUGCACUGGACUUUGAAUUUGCUUGUGUAGGAUAGGUGGGAGGCUUUGAAGCGUGGACGCCAGUUCGCGUGGAGCCAACCUUGAAAUACCACCCUGGCAACUUUGAGGUUCUAACUCAGGUCCGUUAUCCGGAUCGAGGACAGUGUAUGGUGGGUAGUUUGACUGGGGCGGUCUCCUCCUAAAGAGUAACGGAGGAGUACGAAGGUGCGCUCAGACCGGUCGGAAAUCGGUCGUAGAGUAUAAAGGCAAAAGCGCGCUUGACUGCGAGACAGGCACGUCGAGCAGGUACGAAAGUAGGUCUUAGUGAUCCGGUGGUUCUGUAUGGAAGGGCCAUCGCUCAACGGAUAAAAGGUACUCCGGGGAUAACAGGCUGAUACCGCCCAAGAGUUCAUAUCGACGGCGGUGUUUGGCACCUCGAUGUCGGCUCAUCACAUCCUGGGGCUGAAGCCGGUCCCAAGGGUAUGGCUGUUCGCCAUUUAAAGUGGUACGCGACCUGGGUCUAGAACGUCGUGAGACAGUUCGGUCCCUAUCUGCCGUGGACGUUUGAGAUUUGAGAGGGGCUGCUCCUAGUACGAGAGGACCGGAGUGGACGAACCUCUGGUGUUCCGGUUGUCACGCCAGUGGCAUUGCCGGGUAGCUAUGUUCGGAAUAGAUAACCGCUGAAAGCAUCUAAGCGGGAAACUAGCCUCAAGAUGAGAUCUCACUGGGACCUUGAGUCCCCUGAAGGGCCGUCGAAGACUACGACGUUGAUAGGUUGGGUGUGUAAGCGCUGUGAGGCGUUGAGCUAACCAAUACUAAUUGCCCGUGAGGCUUGACC
rnacentral:rRNA from 1 species